UACGGGGGGAGCAAGCGUUGUUCGGAUUUACUGGGCGUAAAGGGCGCGUAGGCGGUCGUGACAAGUCACUUGUGAAAUCUCCGGGCUUAACUCGGAACGGUCAAGUGAUACUGUCGGACUAGAGUACAGAAGGGGCAACUGGAAUUCUCGGUGUAGCGGUGAAAUGCGUAGAGAUCGGGAAGAACACCCGUGGCGAAGGCGGCCGGCUGGGCCGGAUCCGACGCUGAGGCGCGAAAGCGUGGGGAGCAAACAGG
rnacentral:rRNA from 1 species